rnacentral:rRNA from 1 species
UACGUAGGGGGCGAGCGUUGUCCGAAGUUACUGGGCGUAAAGGGCUCGUAGGUGGCCAACUAAGUCAGACGUGAAAUCCCUCAGCUUAACUGGGGAACUGCGUCUGAUACUGGAUGGCUUGAGUUUGGGAGAGGGACGCGGAAUUCCAGGUGUAGCGGUGAAAUGCGUAGAUAUCUGGAGGAACACCGGUGGCGAAGGCGGCGUCCUGGACCAACACUGACACUGAUGAGCGAAAGCCAGGGGAGCAAACGGG